CAUUGCUCUUUAUUCUACUUAAUAUCAAUUCUAGAUGUUUUCUUUCAUCGUCCUAAUUGAUUGUGAAAAGUAUCUGUCAAUAGUAAAUACGUUCAGAAACUAUUUAGGUUCUUCUUUAAUGAAAUUACUCCUAUUAUUGGAAAAAUUCUUUAAACUUACCCAAAAUAAAAAUAAAAUGAAAUUAUGUCUUUCCCUUUCUUUUUUUUUUCUUUGAACAUAACAUAUUAUUUACACUAUUUUAUAGUUUUGCGAAUAGCUACAAUAUACUUUUAUUUAUAAUUUCUGGACGUACAUUCCCUUCCCCUUUCACCCCGCUAAUUUCUUCCGCCCAACUGCCCAUUUCAAAACGAUUGACCUCUAAGACUAAAUCAGUCACUGUGUCAAAAUUGUAUCAAAUACAAUGGCAACUCAAGAAUUUAAAGUUUGUGGCACACAAACUGAUAACAAAUUUGAUGUGGGAACACAAACAGUUCCCACCAUAUAUUUCCCAGCGCCUACAACAGUCGAUGUGGGAACCCAAACCGAACCCACUCCAUGCUGCCAAGACUUUUAUAUUACUCGCGCACCUCCAUACUUCUCUCCAUCGAGUUCUGAAUCUCAAAUUAACGUUAACAUAACUUCUUAUAGUCCAAUCUCUAAUCCAGAGUCCCCUCCAAGUCCAGAAUAUUUCUACUUAUUCCAUCUCGUCAGAAGAUGAUGUAAAUGGACCCAACUCAACCUAGCCCCCUUCUCCCCAUAUUCCAGGACACAGCUGCCACUAUUUUGCAAGAUGACCCAUAUAACAAUUUCAUACAGCUCUCGGCUGUCUAUAAUGAAAAUUUCUCUUCGUUGGGUAAUUCAGAUUUGGGAUGAUAGAAACACUGGUAACCGUGAAUACAGUGAAUAGAGAGAAGGGAGGGGAUACUUGGAAAAAGCGCGGCUUUUAAAACAAGCGCCUACAAUAGUUGAUGCGGGAACUCAAACAGUUCCCACCCUACAUUACUCAGCACCUACAAUAGUUGAUGUGGGAAAUCAAACUGAUCCAGUUCCAUGUUGCCAGGACUUUUACAUUACCCGCGCGCCUCCACACUUCUCACCAUCCAGUUCCGAUUCACAUAUUAAUGAUAAUGAAGCAUCUUAUAGUCCAAUUGCUAGUUCAGAGUCCCCUUCAAACCCUAUGAAUAUUCCUACUUAUACCAUCUCGUCAGAAGAUGAACCAAUGUAAAUGGAUAACAUUACUUCAACCCUCACCUUUCCAGAACUACAAGAUUUACCACAGGAGCACCAUCUACAAUACUUGGAUACCCGACCCACAGCCAUCUACCACGAUUAUCUUCCUACUUUGGAAAUUAUUCCUACCUUCAUGGUCACUGUUAUUUCAUAGUUAUGUUUUAAAACAAUGCAUAUACAAUGAACCUCCUUUUCUCUUGCAAUUACGUGCGUACGUGUUCAAAAAGAAGCUACCAGUGAUGGCACAACUCUCCAUCCUAUCACUUUUGGUCGUUUUAUGUUACAAAAUAACAUUCAAGGUGUUGUGAACGGCAGUUUAAAGAGAAUAGGCAGAAAUAGAGUCAGCAUUGUAUUUGCUACAUCACUGAUGCUAACAAUUUUUUAAGUAGUGACAGCUUAGGAAAUAACAGAUACAAUGCUUUCAUCCCAACUUUCAAUGUCACACGGAUGGGAGUGAUCAAAGGUGUACCACUUGACUGAUGAUGAAGUACAGACUUCUAUUAACCUGCCAAUUGGCUGUGAAUUGGCCAAUUAUAAAAAUUAGAAGUCUAAAAAGGAAAAUUGUUGUCAACAACUCUACUCAAUUUGUGAAUAAUGGUACUGUUAUACUUACUUUUGAUGGACAAAUAUUACCAACCCGGGUGUACAUGUGCCUAGGCCAGAACUUAAUUGUGAAAUCGGAAGGACAAACACGGGCAACAUACGUUGUUUUAUCCGCUAAGGGGUAUUUCCUUCUUUAGUGAGAAAUUUAAUCACUGAACGUUGCUCAAUUUUGAGCAAAUUAUUUUUCUCUAGCAACAUGUUGUAAGCAUUCGCGUGCCAAAAACAAAUGAAGAGCAACUGACAAAUAAAAGUUUGAUAUUUUGAAAAAAGAAUUGUCAAUAAACACGAAUACAUAGCGGUCAGCAUUAUUUUUAAAUUAUUUAUAGGCUAGGUAGUAGGGAUUGCAGAACCGGUGUUUAAAAGAACCGGGAUUUUCGGUACCAGACAAAAAUGGAACUGGGAUUUCCCGGUAUUUUCGGUACUUUCGGGACUGCCUUCAAAAAUCAGUUUUUACCUAAAUUUUCGGUAAAAACAAAAAUCCGAAAACGGUCACGAAUGUUUCUCUAAGCAUUAGUACAGUAUAAUAAGUACCAUAGUGAAGGUACGCACACUUCUUUUUUACGAUAAUAUGUGUCUUGAAGCCAGACAAUCAUGACUGCCUCUGCUUACUAUAUACUACUAAAUAAUAUAAUUUGGUUUAAUCCUAAAUUACAUUUGAUAUUUUUACUAUCUUUGUUGAAAAACAUCGGCAAAAUACUGAAUUGUCGCUCAGGUAAUAUCAUCAUCAUCAUUUAAUUUAAAUGUGUAAGCCGUUUCGUUAAAUUUAAUUAAUUACUUUCGCAUGCGUUCUGUGGCAGGGAUAUUUUACCUACUAAUAAUAGAAUUAUUAAUACGAAGAAUCAAGAAGUUGUUGCAGCCAGAAUUAAGAAUUUACCAAGGAGAGGACAUGUAACUGUAAUAUUUUAUUCUUUCUAAAAUGUCAUUAUCAAUGAGAGUUUAUUAUACCGUAUUCGAACUAAAAUGCAUAUUUUAUUAAUUACACAAUUUCUCACAAAUAACUAAUUAUUCGUAUAAACUUAUUAAUCUUAGAAUCACUUAUGUCCGUAUAG